GAUGAACGCUGACAGAAUGCUUAACACAUGCAAGUCAACUUGAACUUGGGUUUUUAACUUAGGUUUGGGUGGCGGACGGGUGAGUAACGCGUAAAGAACUUGCCUCACAGCUAGGGACAACAUUUGGAAACGAAUGCUAAUACCUAAUAUUAUGAUAAUAGGGCAUCCUAUAAUUAUGAAAGCUAUAAGCGCUGUGAGAGAGCUUUGCGUCCCAUUAGCUAGUUGGAGAGGUAACGGCUCACCAAGGCGAUGAUGGGUAGCCGGCCUGAGAGGGUGAUCGGCCACAAGGGGACUGAGACACGGCCCUUACUCCUACGGGAGGCAGCAGUGGGGAAUAUUGGACAAUGGACCGAGAGUCUGAUCCAGCAAUUCUGUGUGCACGAUGAAGUUUUUCGGAAUGUAAAGUGCUUUCAGUUGGGAAGAAACAAAUGACGGUACCAACAGAAGAAGUGACGGCUAAAUACGUG
rnacentral:rRNA from 1 species